AGAAGUUCUUUCCAGAUGUAAUGUGAAUUGAUGAAAUCUUGAAAAAAUGUUGUGAGUGUUGGUGUUGUCCAGAUAUAAAAAAUGAGCUGCCAGAUGAAUGUACUUUCCAGAUCUAAACCAUCACAAAUGAUGCCUGUUUGUAUUUACCAGUGUUUAAAAAGUGAUCAAAUUUGAUGUGGGAUGAUUCAAAACAAAUCUUCAAAUUGACAAUGGCAAAAAGCAAGUGGAAAUGGAAUACUCCAGUUGAU
rnacentral:lncRNA from 1 species